UCUAAAAUGGCAGACAAGUGCAAUGGAUUUAAGCUCCAUAUAUGAAGUGAAUUGCUUCUUUUAGAAC
rnacentral:tRNA from 1 species